GACGAACGCUGGCGGCGUGCUUAACACAUGCAAGUCGAACGGAAAGGCCCUGCUUUUGUGGGGUGCUCGAGUGGCGAACGGGUGAGUAACACGUGAGUAACCUGCCCUUGACUUUGGGAUAACUUCAGGAAACUGGGGCUAAUACCGGAUAGGAGCUCCUGCUGCAUGGUGGGGGUUGGAAAGUUUCGGCGGUUGGGGAUGGACUCGCGGCUUAUCAGCUUGUUGGUUGGGUAGUGGCUUACCAAGGCUUUGACGGGUAGCCGGCCUGGGAGGGUGACCGGCCAAAUUGGGACUGGAGAACGGGCCAGGCUCCUACGGGGGGGAAGAGGGGGGAAUAGUGGACAAUGGGGGGGAGCCUGAAGCAGGAACGCCGGGUGGCGGGAGACGGGCUUCGGGGUGGAAACCGCAUUUCCCUGGGAAGGAGGGUUAAUGGCGGUAAAGGGUAAAAAAGGCCCGGCUAACUACGUG
rnacentral:rRNA from 1 species